CGGAGGGUGCAAGCGUUAUCCGGAUUCACUGGGUUUAAAGGGUGCGUAGGUGGGUAAGUAAGUCAGUGGUGAGAUCUCCGGGCUUAACCCGGAAACUGCCAUUGAUACUAUUUGUCUUGAAUACUGUGGAGGUCAGCGGAAUAUGUCAUGUAGCGGUGAAAUGCUUAGAUAUGACAUAGAACACCAAUUGCGAAGGCAGCUGGCUACACAAAUAUUGACACUGAGGCACGAAAGCGUGGGGAUCAAACAGGAUUAGAUACCCUGGUAGUCCACGCCCUAAACUAUGGAUACUCGACAUUUGCGAUAAACUGCAAGUGUCUGAGCGAAAGCAUUAAGUAUCCCACCUGGGAAGUACGAUCGCAAGAUUG
rnacentral:rRNA from 1 species